UUCAGGGUUUAUUUUGGUUCUCAUUUUUUCAGAUGGAAGAGAAAACCAGAGGCAGGAGAGGAUACUUCAGUGGCGUUGGUGAUGAUUGAUGAAGGGCUUUUGUUGAGAGCCGAAGGAGAACAAAGGAGAAAACAAAGGAAGUUACAAAGUCUAUAUUAAUAGAGGAUUUCCAAUCUGGGCCUCUUAGUUUCGUCUAGCAUUACUCUUCUGUGAACCAUAUUUUGGAAGGAGUAUGAGGUGGAGAUUCUUUCCAGGAUGAGGGAAGCUUGAAUCGGAACUUAGCCAUGAUGGCAAUAUGGUCUGAUGACCAUAUUGGUGAUGGAAGACCACGUCCCAAGCUCUCCUGGUCGAGAAGUUCCAGUAGACCUUCAACCAUGAAGCAGUUUGCUGUAUAGGAAAAAACAACUUAAACUCAGUAUCACAAACAAAGUUGAGUAAAUUCGUUAAUACUUGCAGAUGUAUUUCUGAUAGCAAGGACUUCUAACAACAGGCGCCAAUGACAAUAUUUAAGCCAGAACAACACAGGGAAAAAGCCAUUGCAAUAAUUAAAUUUGAAUGUUGGCAUAUGCUACAGGCAUUUUGUUAUUGCAGAAGGAAAAUCUAUCCAAUAAGUACCACAAAUUGAGCUGCUAAAAAGCCUACAAAUUCAUAAUUAUUUUGACACAUCAAAAGGGUUCAAGUGAGAACUCUUUUGAUUUAGAUAUACUCUUGCUAAUUCUGAAUAAUGAUUUGUCCGAGCCA